GGCCACAUCACAUUGAAACACCAGUUCCCAUUUGAUCACCAAAGUUAAGCAAUGUUGAGCCUGGUCAGUACCUAGAUUGGUGACUGCUUAGGAAUACAAGGUGCUGUAAG